rnacentral:tRNA from 5 species
GGGCCUGUAGCUCAGCGGCAGAGCGGGCGGCUCAUAACCGCUUGGUCGCAGGUUCGAAUCCUGCCGGGCCCACCA